UACGAAGGGGGCUAGCGUUGCUCGGAAUCACUGGGCGUAAAGAGCUCGUAGGCGGUCUGUCGCGUCUGCUGUGAAAACUCGGGGCUUAACCCCGGGCCUGCAGUGGGUACGGGCAGACUGGAGGCAGGCAGGGGAGAACGGAAUUCCCGGUGUAGCGGUGAAAUGCGCAGAUAUCGGGAGGAACACCAAUGGCGAAAGCAGGUACCUGGACCAUUACUGACACUCAGCUGCGAAAGCUAGGGGAGCAAACAGGG
rnacentral:rRNA from 1 species